rnacentral:rRNA from 1 species
UACGUAGGGUGCAAGCGUUAAUCGGAAUUACUGGGCGUAAAGCGUGCGCAGGCGGUUUUUUAAGACAGAUGUGAAAUGCCCGGGCUCAACCUGGGAACUGCAUUUGUGACUGGAAGGCUAGAGUGUGUCAGAGGGGGGUAGAAUUCCACGUGUAGCAGUGAAAUGCGUAGAGAUGUGGAGGAAUACCGAUGGCGAAGGCAGCCCCCUGGGAUAACACUGACGCUGAGGAGCGAAAGCGUGGGGAGCAAACAG